UACGAGGGGGCGAGCGUUGUUCGGAAUUAUUGGGCGUAAAGAGCUCGUAGGCGGCUCGUUGCGUCGGACUGUGAAAACCCGCCAGCUCAACUGUGGGCUUGCAGCUGAUACGGGCGGGCUGGAGUUCGGUAGGGGAGACUGGAAUUCCUGGUGUAGCGGUGAAAUGCGCAGAUAUCAGGAGGAACACCAACGGCGAAGGCAGCCCGCUGGGACGGUACUGACGCUAAGGCGCGAAAGCGUGGGGAGCGAACGAGG
rnacentral:rRNA from 1 species